rnacentral:lncRNA from 1 species
AUUCGGCUAUCCAACCCAUCCUUGAGCCUAAUAAUCUCUACUAUGCUCUUUCUCUUGAACCUCCCGAUAAUCCUAUGAAUCUCUCUAGACAUCCCAUGCAUAAGAAGGAGGAUUGAGGAGAGCAACAUCAAUGGCUAGAGGGCAUUAAAAAUUCAUGUGCUAUCACCACAUUUGAGAUCUCUAACCCUCUCUUCUUUUCUAUUUAUAAAAACUUUAAAAGAGCGGUUGUCGAUGCAUAUGUUUAUAAUAAAUAUUGCAGAUCUCGUCGAGUUAAUUGAUGGUUUCCCAAGGACAAGCUUAGUGUCCUAAAACAAGCACUUAUCAGAUUGUAACAUGAACUUCUAAUUACUUGCAACAUUACCUUGUGUAUUGAGCAUAUAAGAUAAUUGUAGAAAUAUUCCUUCGGGUAUUCUUGUCACUAACCUUUCUAGGAUUUGAGCAAGGACGGACUCAAGAGUUUCUGCAGUGGUUUUAUGCCUUAAAGGUACACAUGCGUUUAAACAAGAUCUCAUCUCUAGGUUAGGGUAAACUGUUAAGAUUUAAAACUUACUCAUCUCUUGAGCAGUUAAAAGAUAGAACGGUCAAGUCAAGCGUCAUGUCUCUUGUUCUUGAUCAACUAUAGCUCUGGAGUUUUUGCAGAUUUUCCAAUAAAACUCAGAGAUUCCUGUAUGACUCUCUCUAGUCUCUCUUUUGUGGUAUUUCUGGAUCCUUACCAAGGCAGUGAUGAUAUAUGCCUUCUCUCAAAGUAUGUGGUAUUUUUGGUAUGAGGCAUAGUGACAUUGCUUUCUCUCUCACCCAACUUUAAUAAGGUUUUGAUAUCUGGAGCUCAUAGGUGGGAGACAGCUAAUACAUACUUACAAGACAUUUAUUGCAUAGUCAAACCAUGGAUCCAGAGAAACAAGUCAAAAAGUCAAAUCAAGAUGUGCAUGUGUGGCGAAUGAAUGGUGUAUGGUGAUGAUGGUGAUAAUGGUGAAAACAAUGGUGAAAGUCUAAUUCUACUUUUGCUCUUUUGAGGGGAUACACACCUUUCUUGCACUUUGAAGUUUUUUGAUGGGAAUGAGAUGCUCUAUAUUUUAUUUUCUUUUUUUCUUUUUUUCAGGUGGGUAUCUUGUACCCCUAAUUCUACUGUCGGACACUUAUCCAUUUUUAUCUCUCGUCUCACUUUUUCUUUUCUUCGAGGUUUCAGGCACUUGUCCCUUUUUAUUUCCUCGUAUUCACUCUUUUUUUCCAGAGCACUCACCCUCCUAAAAUAAUGUAGCAAGUGGUAGUAACGAAAAUAUCAAGAGAAUUUAUUUCACGGGGAAUCACAGGGAUAGGAUAAUGUUUUUGGCUAGUCUCUCCUAGAUAGGAGUAGAAUAAUUUUGGGUGAAUCUAGAGAUGGAAAUGAAUGGAUGUAUGUGGAUGCAUACUUCCGGAGUAGAAGCAGCAUGUAUGAGUGAACGUGCAAGUGGAUCUUGAUUUUAACCACAUGACAAGCUCCUAAGGGUCUACACAGCUUGACCACACUCAAUGCUCAUAAGUAGUAAAAAGUAAAUGUAUGGUUCAUAGUCUAAUAAGCAUGUAUAUGCGGCUAUGGUAGGAUUUUAAACUCUCAUCAUACAGGAACUCAUCAUGCAAUAUUUUAAAGAUUUUUAAAGAUAAAAUUCUCUAGAAUUCUAGCAUCUCUAGGAACAGAUAAACAGCAGCUCAACCUUCCCAUAUCAUAUCCGUUAACGACUUAGACUUUAGAUCAAGUACUCUUCCCACAAGUUCAGGUUUAGAGCAAAUCUUAAUUCAGAACAGUCAUACCUUAACUUGAGAGAGAUUUCAAUUUUGAGAACUAGUCAUGGCAGAGCAACUAUUCAUUAUUUCCAUGUGAGAGCUUAUCAUGAGGGUUCAUAGCAAACUUUAUUUAUUUAUUUAUUUAGCAAACUAAGAAAAGAUAUAUAUAUAUAAGCAUAAAAUCUUUAUUUGGAUUUUUAUGAUUAUGCAUCUUUUUAUUAAUUGAGUAAAGUAUAAACAUGAGUAGAAACACUUAGCUGGAUAAAUGGGGGUGCUCUCCCCCAAGCUGGAUUUUGUCAUAAUUUCUUCUGAUGUAGCUAGCAGGUGGCGGAGGUGUAUUUGAAUGUCGGCAACACCCUGACAGCGAUUAGAAUGUCCUCCGUCUACAAGUCUUCUUUGAUCCUUGAAUUCUGUGGAGCUCAAAUAGAUAACAAAGCUUUGUGGAACUGGUUAAGUGUUAGCAUAAAAUCUCUUUGCCUUUAUCAUGUUGAGGCUCCUCAAUAAAUGUUACUCUCUUUGGUAGGAUCAUAAAUUUAUUUUUAUAUUUUCAUUUUUAUAGGACAUGAAUAUUUUUAUUUUUAUGCCACCACAGUGAAUGUACUUAUGGGUUUUAUGCCACGAGCAUACUCACAUGGGGCUUACUGAUUUUAACAUUUUUAAUUUCUUUUCAAGAUAGCAUGAUUAACUAACAAGCUAUUUAAGGAAAGUAAAUAAUUUAAGGGAAAAGGGAAUGCAGAAAGGAUAAAUAUGGAUAACUACUGAUUUUACCUUUCGACAAGGGUUCAAUGUUUUAAGUCUUCUGAACAAGACUUCUCACCGUGUUCAUUCUUCAGGUGCGUCCUUUGAUUCAGGUGCGGACCUUGACGUCUGCACCUCUUGAUACGGUGUCACCCAUGUUCUUCGUUUGCCCAGCAGUUCGAAGUGUGGCGUUGGCAGCAUCCUGCUCAGUGUGUUUGUGCUCGUAGAUCCAGGUCCUUCACUUGGUUGAGUCUGAGAGUUAUAAAACUCCUCCAUGUUUUGCUCGAAGUGUACCUGCUCAUAGAGACAAGGCAGAGAUCAAGUGCAUGGGUCCUGUUGGUGGAAAACACCAACAGAACCAAAAGUGUAUUUGUUCUUCUCUAACCUUAAGCAUAGUGAGCAAGACAAAGUUGAUGAAUGAUAAGUUCAUGAGUGUAGCACUUAUAACAUUUGUCAGAUCAGAUCGCUUAACCUUAUGGAGAGAUAAUCUAUCUAUGUAUAUGCCUUUUUCUUUAUAUCUCUCAUAGAUUGAACGUGUAACAUUUUAGCUCAUACGAUUAGGAGUGUGGGAUCAUGGAGGUAGUACUAGGAACAA